rnacentral:rRNA from 1 species
GCACGACUCUCGGCAACGGAUAUCUCGGCUCUCGCCACGAUGAAGAACGUAGCGAAAUGCGAUACUUAGUGUGAAUUGCAGAAUCCCGUGAAUCAUCGAUUCUUUGAACGUAAGUUGCGCCUUGGGCCUCGGCCAAGGGCACGUCUGCUUGGGUGUCGCAU